AACGCACAUUGCGCCCCUUGGUAUUCCAGGGGGCAUGCCUGUUUGAGCGUCAUUUCCUUCUCAAACAUUCUGUUUGGUAGUGAGUGAUACUCUUUGGAGUUAACUUGAAAUUGCUGGCCUUUUCAUUGGAUGUUUUUUUUCCAAAGAGAGGUUUCUCUGCGUGCUUGAGGUAUAAUGCAAGUACGGUCGUUUUAGGUUUUACCAACUGCGGCUAAUCUUUUUUAUACUGAGCGUAUUGGAACGUUAUCGAUAAGAAGAGAGCGUCUAGGCGAACAAUGUUCUUAAAGUUUGACCUCAAAUCAGGUAGGAGUACCCGCUGAACUUAA
rnacentral:misc_RNA from 1 species